AAGAACACGAUCCCCAUCCUCAAAUUACUUCCAGUCUUAUGGGGCAGACAAGACACACCCUGGCAAUUAAAGCGUGUAUAUGUAUCCAUUUACAAAACACUAGAGACUUCAUGGCCAAGGGUACCAGUUAUAAUGUGGCUUACUUGUAUGUAUAUCGAAACCCAAAAGAACACUGGCUUCCAUAGCAGAGAAAUUCAUUUUUUGUUCUUGUGAAAGAAUUUGUGUAGUCAUUGGAAGCCCCUCAAAAAGUUCAACUAGGACCCAGCAGCUCCACUCCAAAGUAUAUACCCAAGAGAACUGAAAACGCACUUCCAUACAAGGGCUCUUAGUACAUAUAAUAGCCACAAAGUGGUAACAACCCAAAUGCUCUCCAUCUGCUUGCUGAAUGGAUACAAGUGUGGUAUAAUCCACACACUGGACUAUUAUCCAACCAUAAAAAGGAAUGAAGUACUGAUACAUGCCACAAUGUGGAUGAAUCUGGGAAACAUGACGCCAAGUGAAAGAAGACAGACGCAAAAGGCCACCUAUUGUAUGAUUCCAUUCACGUGAAAUGUCCAGAACAGGUGAAUCCGUAGAGACAGAAAACAGAUUAGUCAUCGCUAGGGGCUGGGGAGCAGGGAGGGAAGAAUGGAAGUGACCGUCAAUAAGCACAGGGUUUCUUCUGGGGGUGAUGUUCUGGAAUGAGUGGUGAUGAUUGAAGAGCUUUGUACAUAUGCUAAAAACCCUAACAGCCAUUGAAUUUACACUUUUAAGUGAGUGUAUCAUUUUAUAUGUGAAUUAUACCUCAAUAACGUUACUAAAAGCGUGCUAGGAGGGUCAAAGAGGCAAAAAUCGGUGAUGAAUAAUCAGAGGACACAGACAAGAGAUUGAAAAAGUACCUCCUGGUGGUGGUUUGCUCUCCUCCCCCAGUUCCUUCUCCAGGUCUCAGAGUGGUUGCCUCAUGCUCCCAUGUAUUAGAUCUUCUUCCUCUUCUCCUCCCCUACUACAAAUAGCAGAAAGUCCACUACAUGAGGCUGACCUGGCCCCAGCCAGGGAGAGAGAUGGCAUUUCUGGUCCCUAUGGAGAGAAUGUGCUGAUGGACACAGAAUGGGAUAGGGUUCACGCCCCUGAUCCUGAUGGUGUCCCCACAUGGGAGAGACUUCCUGUUCAAGGGAAUAAAUGUCCUUGAGAGUCCUUGGCCCUGAUGGUGCAGGGGAGGAGCUCUGUGAGCCUGAUACGUCCCUGUGGCCCACCAUGCAAUUUACCCAUCUGUUUAGAGGGUGAUGACUCUUAGGGCUGCCGGUGUCCCUAAUCUCCAUGGGGGAUGUGCUCUAGCGGUGUCUGUCCCCACGCCCCAGGCUGGCUCUGCUUUGAGCGCUCAGGCUAUUUCGUCCCUACAGUCCCCAGUGAUAGAGCACUUCCUCAUUAACACACAUUCUAGGAUCUCCUUCACAGCCCUGUGGCUUUAUUUUUUUUCCCCUUUUUAUUUAUUUAUUUAUUAUUUUAAAAAUUAACAUAUAAUAUAUUAAUUGCCUCAGGGGUACAGGUCUGUGAAUCAUCAGGCUUACACAUUUCACAGCACUCACCAUAGCACAUACCAUCCCAGUGUCCAUAAACCAGCCACCAUAUCCCUUCCCCUCUACCCCCCAGCAACUCUGCUUGUUUCAUGAGAUUAAGAGUCUCUUAUGGUUUUUCUCUCUCCCGAUCCCAUCUUGUUUACUUUUUUCUUCCUACCCCCCAACACCCCCCCACCUCUCAAAUUCCGUAUAUCAGAGAGAUCAUAUGAUAACUGUGUUUCUCUGAUUGACUCAUUUUGCUCAGCAUGGUACCCUCUAGUUCCAUCCGUGUCAUUGCAAAUGGCAAGAUUUCAUUUCUUUUGAUGGCUGCAUAGUAUCCUCUUCUUUAUCCAUUCAUCUGUUGAUGAACAUCUAGUUUGGCUAUUGUGGACAUUGAUGCUGUAAACAUCAGGGUGCACAUGCCUCUUCGGAUCACUACAUUUGUAUCUUCAGGGUAAAUACCCAGUAGUGCAAUUGCUCGGUUGUAGGGUAGCUUUAUUUUCAACUUUUUGAGGAACCUCCAUACUGUUUUCCAGAGUGGCUGCACCAGCUUGCAUUCCCACCAAAAGUAUAAGAGGGUUUCCCUUUCUCUGCAUCCUCCCAAUAUCUGUUGUUUCCUGACUUAUUAAUUUUAGCUUUCUGACUGGUGUGAGGUAGUAUCUCACUGUGGUCUCAAUUUGUAUUUUCCUGAUGCCAAGUGAUGUGGAGCACUUUUUCAUGUGUCUGUUGGCCAUCUGGAUGUCUUCUUUGAAGAAAUGUCUGUUCAUGUCCUCUGCCCAUUUCUUGAUUGGAUUAUUUGUUCUUUGGGUGUUGAGUUUGAUAAGUUCUUUAUAGAUUUUGCAUACUAGCCCUUUAUCUUAUGUGUCAUUUGCAAAUAUCUUUUCCCAUAAUGUCAGUUGUCUUGGUUUUGUUGACCGUUUCCUUUGCUGUGCAAAAGCUUUUGAUCUUGAUGAAGUCCCAGUAGUUCAUUUUUGCCCUUGCUUCCCUUGACUUUGGUGAUGUUUCUAGGAAGAAGUUGCUAUGGCUGAGGUUGAAGAGGUUGCUCCCUGUGUUCUCAAGGAUUUGGAUGGAUUCCUGUCUCACAUUGAUGUCCUUCAUCCAUUUUGAGUCUAUUUUUGCGUGUGGUAUAAGGAAAUGGUCCGGUUUCAUUCUUCUGCAUGUGGCUGUCCAAUUUUCCCAACACCAUUUAUUGAAGAGACUGUCUUUUUUCCAUUGGACAUUCUUUCCUGCUUUGUCAAAGAUGAGUUGACCAUAGAGUUGAGGUUCUAUUUCUGGACUCUCCAUUCUGUUCCAUUGAUCUGUGUGUCUGUUUUUGUGCCAGUACCAUAUUGUCUUGAUGAUGACAGCUUUGUAAUAGAGCUUGAAGUCUGGAAUUGUGAUGCUGCCAACUUUGGCUUUCUUUUUCAAUGUUCCUCUGGCUAUUUGGUGUCUUUUCUGGUUCUGUAUAAAUUGUAGGAUUAUUUGUUCCAUUUCUUUGAAAAAAAAUUGAUGGUAUUUUGAUAGGGAUCGCAUUAAAUGUGUAGAUUGCUUUAGGUAGCAUAUACAUUUUCACAAUACUUGUUCUUCCAAUCCAUGAGCAUGGAACACUUUUCCAUUUCUUUGUGUCUUCCUCAAUUUCUUUCAUGAGUACAUUAUAGUUUUCUGAGUACAAAUUCUGCAAGGUUGGUUCAAUCAAUCAAUCAAUCAAUGCAAAAUCAAUCAAUGUGAUACAAUACAUUAAUAAAAGAAAGAAUAAGAAUCAUAUGAUAGUCUCAAUAGAUGCUGAAAAAGCAUUUGACAAAGUAUAGCAUCCUUUCUUGAUCAAAACUCCUUGAAGUGUAGGGAUAGAGAGUGCAUACCUCAAUAUCAUCAGACCCAUCUAUGAAAAACCCACAGUGAAUAUCAUACUCAGUGGAUAAAAGUGUGGCUUUAUUCUUGAUCUGUUUCCUAUUCCUCCUCUUGUACCAUACAAACCAAAUACUAUUCCUUCUUCCUCCUUCCCCUCCUCCCUCCCUCCCUUCCUUCCUGUCUCACUCUUUUUUUUUUUUUGUAGUUGUCACACAAAAACCAGUUUAUUUGUAGCAAAAAAGGAGGUCACAGGGGAUAACUUCCAAAGCCCUGACUCUUCAAGUACUGUUUCUGAUGUCACUGUAAGAGUUCUUUCACUUGUUCUAAUAGGCCUUUGUCAACAGUGCAGAUUGGAUUAGGCUUCAUGCAUUACCUUGAGUGACUCAUGUCUGCCCCAAGUGACCUUUCUCCCCAUAUGCACGGAUUCCAGGAGUCCAGAUAGUGUGGAGAUGCAUGGAGAUGGAGUCUGAGUUGGAGGAACUGUCAUAAAAGGUGGAGUCCCAGCUCUUAUAGCCGAAGUGCAAGGAGACAUGAUGACUAAAUGUAACAUGGUUUCCAGGAUGGAAUCCUGGGGAAAAGGACAUUAGGUAAAAACUAAGAAAAUAUGAAUAAAGUAUGGACUUUGGUUAAUAACAGUGUAUCGAUAUUGCUUUAUUAAUAGAGAUGAAUGUGCCUAUGAAUGUAAGACAUUCAUCAAAGGGAAAACUGGGUUUGAGGUAGGUGGGAACUCUCUAUAUUAUCUUUGAAGAUUUUCUGUAAGUCUAAAAUUAUUCCAAAAUUAAGACUUCAUUAAAUCACCCCCAAAUCUAGUGUCCCCAUUCCCAUCAGAAUAUUUAACUCUAGAUUGGCCAGACCAUCUUAAAGGAAGAGUGUCAUCCCAUAUGCCUUCUUUAUUUUUUCUUUAUUUUUUUAAAAGAUUUUAAAUUAUUUUUAAGUCAUCUCUACACCCAGCAUGGGACUCAGACUCACAACCCUGAGAUCAAGAGACACAUACUCUACUGACUUAGCUGGCUAGGUGCCCCCCAUAUGCCUUCUUUAAAGGGUAGUUAUCAAUACCACCUGAAUCAUUAGUGUGGCCUGAAGAAGAUCCAUUUACCUGUAUCAAAGACAGGGUGUUGAAGUCCUGGAUGUGUGCCAGGAAGAAGAGCCCACUGGUGCCCAGGUGCACGUUCUGCUCCCAGGGUGCGUGAAGCCUUGAAGGACAAUGAGUGACUGUGGGAAUCCUGGGCCGUGUCUGAGUGGCUCUCAGGAAAGGACUGACCCAUGAGGACAUAUUUCAGGGAGUUAAGGCAAGUUUUGAAUCCCUGGAAGAGCCAAAGUUCAGGAGCUGACAGUGUAGUCAGGUUUCGUGCCAAACUUGUGAGUUUAGUCUGAGAAUGAGCAAAGGUUGCAGGCAUGUAAGCCAUGUAACUGGGUCAUUCGCAGGAGGGGUCAGUCCUCUAGGUUACAAGGUCUCUAGUUGGGUGCCCUGUAGGAUAUCAUACUUCUCAUGACAAACUGUUAAAUAGAUAGCCUGGCCAACAGGAUGCCUCUGUCCUCCCCUCUGGGGGACACUGCUGAGGAAGACGAGAUAUUGGAGAGCUGGAGGGAGGGGAGAGAAAUGCCUCGGCAGUCUGUCCCACUCCUGAAGCAGUGACUGUUUUUCCUAGGGCAGGGCUUACAUAUUCAGUAGAAUGGGUUCAAGAGUCCCCCUCAGACUCACAUCUAUCUGGAACCUCAGUAUGUGUCUUUCGUUGGAAACAGGAUCUUUGCAGAUAGAAUUCUUUAAGAUGAGGUCAUAAUGGAUUCAAGUGGGCCCUAAUCCAAUGCCUUUUGUCCUUAUAAGAAGAGGAGACACACAGACAAGGAGGAAGGCCACGUGGAGUUGGAGGCGGAACACAGAGUGAUGCAGCUGGAAGCCAGGGAAGGCCAAGGAUUGCCAGGAGCCACCAGAAGGCAGGAAGAGGGACUGUGGCCCUGCUGACCCCUUGAUUUGGGAUUUGUAGCCUCCAGAACCGAAAGAGAAUACAUUUCUGUUGUUUCAGGCAACCUAGCUUGUGGUUCUCUCUUAUGGCGGCCUGAGAAAACCAAGUCAUCUGACAGGGCUGACGCUGGGACGGUGUACAGUACCAGCUGCCCUUGGCAGCCCGAAGCUUGGUGCUUCCUGGUCCCUGGCAGAUCGGAAACCUGGGGCUGGAGCCUCAUAACUGUGAGCCCCAACAUAGUCCAAAAUUAAAGAGUAAUUAGCACAGGUGAUAACACGGGUUAUCCCUACCUUCUACUCCCCACAGUGAAGUCUUGCCCAUGUGGGAUCUCCUUGUGAACACUUUGUCCCAUUAUCUGAAGGAACUAAAAGGUAUACAUUCCUCCUGCAAAGUUUCCAGUGGUUCCAUGAGAUGUGCUCACGUUUUCUUCUCUAGGGGUUACCUGUCCCACGCCUUCAAGCAGAAAUCCCUCUCUUUUCUGAUCCUUGAUCUGCCUGCUCACUGUGGCCUCUUGACCACACGAUGGUCAUGGUGUGGCCAUAGUCUCGAACGGUAUGAACAUCCCUUCCCAAACCUUCCCUCCUAGGGAGCAAAACCUCUUUCUUCUUUAUCUUCUGACUUCCUCCUUUCUGAUCUCUGUGACUUAAUUGCCUCCCCCACUUGCUAGAAACUGUUGCUGUUUGCUUGAGUUCUGUAUUUGAUCUUCUGUCAUCACUCUGCAACUCUCUUGGGGAACCAUCCAGGGCCCUAGCUCUAAUUGCCACCACCAUGUGACCUCCUAGAGCUGUGUUCCAGUUCAGGACCCUUCCUUGAGCUCCAGCUUCAUAUGGCCCAUGCAGGGUUUCCACCUGGCCUACUAGCCCCUUGUGACUCAGGGUGUUCAAAGCACUGGAUUGAUGGGUCUCUCUUCCCUCUGCUAGAACCACAGACCUGCCCUCUUCUGAAAAGAAGAAUUCAUAAAGAGUUUCCAUUGAAGAUUUGAAAGAUAGAUAUUGAACAGUUUUGAAGGAAAUAAAACACACACACACAGAGAAUCACAUUUGGUGUGAGUGUAGGAAUCACCCAAUCAAUAGACUGUCAAAGCUUGUCUGUACUAACUUCUAUUAUGAUGCAAGGGGAUCUCAGGACACAAUUACACAUUAAAGGAAAACAUAGGCCAACAUCUAAUGCGUUUAAUAGCUCCUUCCAGCCACCUGAGUGGCUUUCCGGAUCUUACCCCUGAUGUAGAGGCUACUCUUCUUGGUCACCUUGUGUUGCCCUCAGGCCAGCCUGAGCCCUUCGAAGUCCCUUAAGUGGAUGCAAAAGUACUUUUUCCCUGUCUUCAUCCUCCUCUGUGCAGGUACAUUCUGCCCUUCUCCUCUGCAGUGAUGUCUUUCUGGCCUUGCUCUUGGUAAACUCCAGCAGGCUGAUGAGACUAGAACCUCCCAUGUGAGUCAUGGUCCUGAGCUUUGAGGCUGUCUCACUUCUGUCUGUACUUCCUGGCUGCUCUCCCUUGCUGCUCACGUUAGCUGCCUUAGGUCAGCGUCCAGGCCAGCAAACACCUCUGUGAAAUCACAGGCAAGAUCAAAAGUCUGCAGUGGUCCAAUGGCCAUUAAAACACACACACACACACACACACACACACCCCAAAACCUUAAAGUGUCUCUGGAUCCAAAGCGGGCUGGAGAGUUGAGAGAUGGGAUGAGAACGCAUGUAAUAAAGUUUAUUUCCAAAUGUGGCAUUAAGCUAUCGAAUUCCAUCACUAAUGAUGUUAAAAUCCUGGCUCUGAAGCCCAGGAAUGUGCAGGUGAGGAUGCUUGGGUGGGUGACACUGGCCAUUUCCCUUGGUGUAUUCGUGCACAGUUUGUUUUUGAGACAUCCAGUAAUAAUUAGAAGUGUGCCCCCAAGCAUCUCUGGGCUCAGCGCUGGCACUCAUGUCCUAAUUAGGUGGGUUUUGACUCAUCACUAUUUACUUGCCCAUUUUUCCUUAACGCAGUUCUUGCCUUGUUUUAUGCAAUUAGAAGGAGGAAGCUCACAAAAGUCAUCACACUGCAGAAGAGAGAUGACAGAAAAGAUCAUUAAUUCUAUCUUCUGUACAAAUCCCAGUAGUAAUUAGGGACCUACGUAAACAGCACCGCUUAAAUGAUUUAGUUGACAAUCGCUAAUAACAACUCCAGCUGUGCGGUGGUGCACUUCAUAAAAGCAAAAGUGAUUAGUUUGCUAUAUAAUCCAAUUAUCGGAAAAAUGUAAUUCCCAUAGCAACAUCUGUUAUUAUUGCCUUGUAAAAGGGCAGGCAGAAUAUUGACACAUCAAAUUGUCCCUCAGCCUGAAGAACAAAGUAAGUGCUUCCUCCACUAGAGGGCUGGUGUCCACACUGUCUCAGGGAGUUCUCCCCUGGGCAGCAGGCAGUGUGGACAGCGUGGGGCAGAACCCACUUCUCAGCAAUUUCUAACUUUUUCAUUACCUGGGUGAAUUCAAGAAAAAAUGCUACCGAAGUUAAAUCUUGGGGGAGAAGAGUGGUUCCGGAAAGAUGAGUGAAGUUCACAUGAGGUUGGGCCGGGGAGGGGAUUUCUAAACUUAGAACCAACAAGCAGUUCAACUUCAAUAUGUAUCGUGCUCCUUGGAUGUGUGAGGACAUGGCCAGAUGCUAAUUACAAAGGCAGUGAGACACAGCUUCUGGUGUCGAGGAGGUUCCUUCUAGCCGUGGGCCAUUAGGAACUGAUGUUUCCAGUUCUCCUGGCACUUGCUCACCUGCUAGAAUUUGGGCAUGGUCACGUCCCUUACUUUGACCUAUCGGAACUCUCGAGUAUUCCUCCACUUCCCUAUCUCCCUCCCAGGAAGUAGCCAGUGAGUUUUCUUUUCCAUCUAGCCCAUCCUAUCACAGAAAGUCAGACUUCCUGCCACAGCUGCAGGUGGACCAUCAGUACGAGGACAGAUACAAAGGCACAGUGGUCAGCAUGUCAUGGGCCUUGGUGAAGGGUAAAAGGUUUCUCCCUUUAAAAUCUCAUGAAAAAGGAGAAAUCUUAUUCCUCAAAAGAAAGCUGAAUUUAUGUGUAUUUUUACUGCAGCAAUGUCUAGCAAUGUUUCCAUGGGAGGUCUCUUCCUUUGGGGUUUGGAUAAUGGCCUGCAUGAUUUUACAGUUACUAUGUGUGAUAGAGUCUGAUAAUUGUCUCCUAAUUAUUCCCCUCUUCUCCCUUAGUGAUAGCAUCUCAAUAUCUAAAUGGGAACAUUGUACCUCAAGCUCAAAGAUAUUUGCUAAGGCCCCUGCAGCUAUGGAAGACCACGUGACUGCUGUGAUUACCACUAGAGGAGCCCCUGAAAUAAAGGGUUGUUUGGGAUUGCUGUGAAGGUUCUUUUUUUUUUUUUUUUUUUUUUUUUUUAAAGAUUUUAUUUAUUUAUUUGACAGGCAGAGAUUACAAGUAGGCUGAGAGGCAGGCAGAGAGAGAGGAGGAAGCAGGCUCUCUGCUGAGCAGAGAGCACGAUGCGGGGCUCGAUCCCAGAACCCUGGGAUCAUGACCUGAGCUGAAGGCAGAGGCUUUAACCCACUGAGCCACCCAGGCGCCCCUGUGAAGGUUCUUUUUAAGGGAGGAAGUACCCCUGCCUUUUCUUUUGCUCCAUUCUGCUGCCUGGGAUGGAUAUGCAAUGGUUGAAGCUGUAGCAGCCCUCUUAGACCAUGAGGAGGAGGAGGGCCCCACAUGAGGGACGGUGGAGAGUGAGCUGGCACAUACCUUGUGUCCUCGAUCACUUUGCGGAGUUCUAGCCACACGGUAUUCUUACUCACCACAGAUGCUUCCAGCACCACCAGACCUGGGGAGUGAUAAGGUGGCAGAGCAGCUUGCCCCUCCACUGGGACUCCUGCAUCCUCAAUCCAAUCCCAGGAGAAAGGUCUUUUCAUAAAGAAUGUCGUGGAAGGAAGAACCUGACAGUUGCCAUUUUGCCUCAGUCAAAGACCUACCCCACAGGGCAUUAAUUUCCUCACACUUCCCAGUUGCAUGUAUGUUGGAGAUACACACACACACACACACACACACACACACAAGCAGGUCCCCCUCAAUAGGGAGACCCUCUGGAAAAACCUGGAGGUGGAUAUGAGAGAUGUAGGGUGUGGGUACAAAAGUAGACACUGUUAGGUUGUGGCAGCUGGGUCCUGAACAAGUGACCAAAAUCCUUGGAUUCAGUUGAGACCAAAAGCACCAUAGUAGCACCAAAGAAGUGUUUGAUCGAUUUAUUUAUUUUUUAAUAUUUAUUUAUUUAUUUAUUUAUUUAUCAGGAGAAAGAGCACAAGCAUGGGGAGAGGCAGGGGGAGAGGAAGAAGCAGACUCCCCAGUGAGCAAGGAGCCUGAUGUGGGGCUUGAUCCCAGGACUUGGGAUCAUGACCUGAGCUGAAGACAGAUGCCUAACUGCUGAAGCACCCAGGUGUCUCAAAGUAUUUGAUUUAUUGGGUGCCUGGGCGGCUCAGUUGGUUAAGUGACUACCUUCAGCUCAGGUCAUGAUCCUGAAGUCCCAGGAUCGAGUCCUGAAUCAGGAUCCCUGCUCAGCAGGGUAUCUGCUUCUCCCCCUGACUCUCUCUCCCUCUCUUUCAUUCUGUCAAAUAAAUAAAUCUUAAAAAAAAAAAAAGUAUUUGAUUUAUUAACCAACUACAAAUCCUAAAUGAACUGGGUUGAAGGUCCUCUGUUCCAUUUAUCUUUUAUGUAUUAUCAUUUAAUAAUCAGAGUUAUUGACCAUGAUUGUCAUCGACCCUAUCCCAGUGACCUUUCCCUGCAGCUCCUAACUCAUGGGUCCGACUGCCCACUCGAUCUCACCACAUACACAUUUAAUAGGGUGUUUCAAAUUUUAUGUUGCCAUACCAGAACUCUUAAUUCCUCCCACACCACCAGACUUGCUUCUUUCUCAAUGAGUUGCUAAAUUCUCACAUCUAGAAGUUAUACCUCUCUCUUUUCCUGGGGGUCCUCUCCCUUGACUCAUCCCCAUUUGCUCCAGUAACAAGCCUCCCAAGACACGUUUUGCAUACACUCAGUUCUCCACGAGUUCCCACAGAAGCCACUUCUACCUUUGCUUGUAUUCUUGAAAUAACCUCCCUUCUACAUGUGCUCCACCUAGAGUCCGUUCUUCCCAGAGCAGGAGUACUUUCUAAAAAGAGAACACACAGCCUGUCACCAUCAUGCUUAAAACUCCCUGAUACACUUCCUCCUGCAAUUAGCAUAAAAUCCAAUCACUUAAGCAGUCUGGGUUGUGCCUAUCUCUCUGACUUCCUCUCAAGCCACUUGCUUCCUCCACCAGGGCAUUCUAGCCACGCUGGCUUGCUCUCUGUCCCGAGCUCUUCCCUCUGCCCGGAGUGUGCUCCUCCCUGAGCUGUGCAUGGCUACUUUUUUCCUGAAGAGUCCACAGAUGCUGGGUAGCCCACCUGCUUCCUGUCCCACCACUCUACAGUAAUCCUAUUUUUGUUUACUAUCUCUUCCUGGCCCCUCUCAUUAGAGGGUGAGCUCCAUGAGAGCAGAGAACUUACUGUUUUUCACUCUUAUAUUUACCGAACUGAAUCUAGAAUAGUGCUUGGUGCAACAUGAGCGCUCAAUAAAUAUUUCUUGAAUGAAUGGUUAGAUACUGAUACGUGUAAUAAAAUUAGAUACAUGUAAUAAAAUUCAUGACUAAACCACGAGUUUCCCUUCAUAAAUAUAAAAUGUUUAUGAGGUAUAUUUGUCAAAUAAUUUUUUUUUAAAUGGCAUCCUGUUUUUCAUUUGACUGAACAAAACAUAGAAACUGUUUCUAGAAGACGAACAGCUUGGGCUCCACAGCCAGAUAGGUCAAGUAGGCUUCCUUAAGGAGGAUUCAGACUGGGCAUCAGUUUUUGCAUCCAAUGGCUAGAACCUUUGUGGCUAAUUUCAAAUGGACCUGGUUGAAGUUAAUUCUUAGGCAGAACCUUGGGAGAACCAGAAUCUCUAGCAGGUGAGGAGGAGAGCUUUCAAGUUCACCCUGGGCCAGUGAAGCUGUUCUGUUACAUACAUGAGAGCCAUUCUGUUACAAGCAUACAUGUUGCAUAACAUGAGAAACUCAUUUUAGACUCAUUAUAUUACUGUCGGCUGCGUUCCCUAGAGGAAUGCUCUCAUCCUUCUUUGAUGUUAUUUCUGGGGUGGCUCUUGGAAAUCAUCUAGUUUAGCCUUGUUUUAUGGAUGAGGAGAGUAAAAUCUGGAGGGAGAAAGCAACUAAGCCAAGGUCAUUCUGUUAGUCAGAGGCAGAGUCAGGACCAGAAUUCGGAUCUCCUAACAGAACCUCGAGGCCUUUACAAUAUAUCACCUCACCUGUUCCUUUAGUGUCCUGCUCUUAAAAAAAAAAAAAAAAAAAGCCACAAGGGGUUUGCCUUAAAAAACAUUCUUGUGAGUCCUGAUGGGACCACGUUGGGUGUCUGAAUGUUGGCAGUGGUGAUAAUUAGUAAGGCACUGAUUUUCCUUUCUCAUUUUGCUUGAAUGUUCUUGACUGGUCAUCAAACAGGUAUUUCCCAUCAAGGGAAGUAAUUGUGUUUUCAGUUAGGACUUCAGUGAGACCUAUAUAAGGGGGUGCCUGGGUGGCUCAGUGGGCUAAAGCUUGUGCCUUUGGCUCAGGACAUGAUCUCAGGGUCCUGGGAUAGAGCCAAUGGGUUAAAGCCUGUCUCUGCCUUUGGCUCAGGUCAUGGUCCCAGGAUCCUGGGAUCAAGCCCUGCAUCAGGCUCUCUGCUCGGCAGGGAGCCUGCUUCCUCCUCUCUCCCUGCCUACCUCUCUGCCUACUUGUGAUCUCUGUCUGUCAAAUAAAUAAAUAAAAUCUUAAAAAAAAAAAAAAAA